GUCUGACAAGCACAAUUUUCUUUUCUGCAUUGAUGUAUUUGAACAAUGAAGAUUUGUUGCAUCUGACAGUUUUCAUCUGGAGAAAUCAGAUUCACCUGCCCCUGGUGUUUUGUCCAUGAAAAGUGACCGAUCAGUGAAAAUGCCAAUUCUGUUAAAAGAUGGAGAUUCUUUGUGUCAUCAAUGUUUUCAGCAGGAGAGAUCAAAAUCACCUGCACCCAGUGUUUUGUCCAUGAAAAGUUACUGAUCAAUGAAAAUGCAAAUUCAUUUAAAAGAUGGAGAUUCUUCAUGUGAUCAAAGUUAGGGGAUCAUAGACGUGUCCCCACGGGACGCCGGGAAUGCGGAGGGGCGUUCUGUCCACUGGGGGUCGGAGGUCUGACUCCGGUCUGCCCGGGGAGGAGCGGCUGCAGUCUGCCUGAGAGAGUGAAGUAGUGAUCGAGGACCACACGACGGUGCAUCAAGGAACCGUCACCAGAACCGGCUGGAUCCAGCUCCAUUCCUGCUUUGUGUUGGACUCCACUGCUGCAUGUCUCUGAGUGAUGAUGACUAAUAGCAGCUGGUGCCAGCCAAACAUCACUUCAGUCUAUUACGUUGGACUUCAGAGGAUGAACUGAUGACAACUUCAACCAUAAGACAUGGACAUAUGCCAUUGCCUGAACCUUGGAUUUAGGAUAGACCUCACCGAAAUUACCGGCCGGAUGAACUGCGAUGCACCUCACAGAUCACUGCCAGCAUCACCUCAGUCUAAUGAUGGACUACACUCUUAUAAUGGAAUACAUAGACGAUCAAUUAAUUGCCAACAAAAGCCUUCAUCAGCCAGCUAACAAGGACAAUUGCCUCUAUGUGAACUUCUGCAGUUAAUCCAGGAUGGACUUCAAAGACAUUAGUCAUUAAUCAGUUCAUACAAAAUCUUUGUUUAAACACUGUCUCUUAACACUUACUUAGUUUGAUAAUUUUAAACCAUGACUUGCAAUAUACAUAAGUAAUAUUGGCAUUAUAUUCAUGAUGUUAGCCAGAGGGGAACUGGCCCCCACAGUGAGUCUGGUUUCUCCCAAGUUUAUUUUUCUCCAUUAACCAACAUCUUAUGGAGUUUUGUGUUCCUUGCCACAGUCGCCUUCGGCUUUCUCACUGGGUUUCUAAAUACAAUUAUUAUUUAAUUAUUUUUAAAUACAAUUCACAAUCAUAUUUUAUCAAACUACACAGUGAUGACUCUAAGACAUUAUAGAU